GGAGGGUCCAAGCGUUAUCCGGAUUUACUGGGUUUAAAGGGUGCGUAGGCGGAUUGAUAAGUCAGUGGUGAAAGCCGCAGCUCAACUGCGGAACUGCCAUUGAUACUGCCAGUCUGGAGUUUGGUUGAGGUAGCUGGAAUGUGUCAUGUAGCGGUGAAAUGCUUAGAGAUGACACAGGAACACCAGUUGCGAAGGCAGGUUACCAAGCCAAUACUGACGCUGAGGCACGAAAGCGUGGGGAUCAAACAGGAUUAGAUACCCUGGUAGUCCACGCCGUAAACUAUGAUUACUCGUUGUUGGCAAUAUACUGUCAGUGACUGA
rnacentral:rRNA from 1 species